rnacentral:rRNA from 1 species
UACGUAGGGGGCAAGCGUUGUCCGGAAUCAUUGGGCGUAAAGAGCGUGUAGGCGGCUCGGUAAGUCCGCUGUGAAAGUCCAGGGCUCAACCCUGGAAUGCCGGUGGAAACUGUCGAGCUAGAAUCCGGAAGAGGCGAGUGGAAUUCCUGGUGUAGCGGUGAAAUGCGCAGAUAUCAGGAGGAACACCGAUGGCGAAGGCAGCUCGCUGGGACGGUAUUGACGCUGAGACGCGAAAGCGUGGGGAGCAAACAGG